UUGCAGCCAAUCAGCAGCAGACCCUCCCUCCCAGACCCUCCCACCUCCUGGACAGCAUCCAUUUUACAUUCAUUGUGAAGCUGCAUUCUUAGUGAGCUGUCCAGGAGGUGGAAGGGUCUGGGAGGGAGGGUCUGCUGCCGAUUGGCUGG